rnacentral:rRNA from 1 species
GUGGGGAAUAUUGGACAAUGGGCGAAAGCCUGAUCCAGCCAUGCCGCGUGUGUGAAGAAGGUCUUCGGAUUGUAAAGCACUUUAAGUUGGGAGGAAGGGCAUUAACCUAAUACGUUAGUGUUUUGACGUUACCGACAGAAUAAGCACCGGCUAACUUCGUGCCAGCAGCCGCGGUAAUACGAAGGGUGCAAGCGUUAAUCGGAAUUACUGGGCGUAAAGCGCGCGUAGGUGGUUCGUUAAGUUGGAUGUGAAAGCCCCGGGCUCAACCUGGGAACUGCAUCCAAAACUGGCGAGCUAGAGUACGGUAGAGGGUGGUGGAAUUUCCUGUGUAGCGGUGAAAUGCGUAGAUAUAGGAAGGAACACCAGUGGCGAAGGCGACCACCUGGACUGAUACUGACACUGAGGUGCGAAAGCGUGGGGAGCAAACAGG